rnacentral:rRNA from 1 species
GCCCAGACUCCUACGGGAGGCAGCAGUGGGGGAUAUUGCACAAUGGGGGGAACCCUGAUGCAGCGACGCCGCGUGGGUGAAGAAGCGCCUCGGCGCGUAAAGCCCUGUCAGCAGGGAAGAUAAUGACAGUACCUGUAGAAUAAGCUCCGGCUAACUACGUGCCAGCAGCCGCGGUAAUACGUAGGUGGCAAGCGUUAUCCGGAUUUACUGGGUCUAAAGGGCGUGUAGGCGGGAAAGCAAGUCAGAUGUGAAAACCAUGGGCUCAACCUGUGGCCUGCAUUUGAAACUGUUUUUCUUGAGUACUGGAGAGGCAGACGGAAUUCCUAGUGUAGCGGUGAAAUGCGUAGAUAUUAGGAGGAACACCAGUGGCGAAGGCGGUCUGCUGGACAGCAACUGACGCUGAGGCGCGAAAGCGUGGGGAGCAAACAGGAUUAGAUACCCGAGUA